rnacentral:tRNA from 1 species
GUCCCUGUAGGGCAAUGGACAGCGCGUUGGAUUUCCAAUCCAAUGGUCGUUGGUUUGAAUCCCAUCUGGGAUG